rnacentral:lncRNA from 1 species
UAAAAGAGACACGUGGGCUCGGUAAUUUGAUGCAUUACCUCGGAGAAUGCACGUGGUCUCAAUGAGUACAUUUGGCAUCUUGAAGAGACACGUGGGCUCGGUGACUUGAUGCAUCGCCUCGGAGAAUGCACGUGGGCUCGCUGAUUCAGAAUGGCAUUUUAAAGGGCACGUGGGCUUGGUAAAGUAAUGCAUUACCUCGGAGAAUGCACGUGGCUCGGUGAUUGGUUUUAUUAAUUGAGACUGAAUAGCAAUAGCUUGAAUGACCGGGAAAUGGUCAGGCU